GGCCUCAUACAUGCAAGUCGAGCGCGAAAGUCCGCAAGGAUGAGUAAAGCGGCGCACGGGUGAGUAACACGUGGAUAAUCUACCCUUUGGAUUGGAAUAACCUGUCGAAAGACGGGCUAAUGCCGAGUAAGCCUUCGAGAGCGUGAAGCUCUUGCANGGAAAGAUGGCGCAAGCUAUCGCCGAUGGAUGAGUCUGCGUCCCAUUAGUUAGUUGGUGAGGUAAUGGCUUACCAAGACAAUGAUGGGUACCUGGUCUGAGAGGAUGAUCAGGCACACUGGAACUGAAACACGGUCCAGACUCCUACGGGAGGCAGCAGUAGGGAAUAUUGCGCAAUGGACGAAAGUCUGACGCAGCCACGCCGCGUGAGUGAGGAAGGCCUUCGGGUUGUAAAGCUCUGUCGGCUGGGAAAAACGGCUAUUGGGGGAAAGUUCCAGUAGCGUGAUGGUACCAGCAAAGGAAGCACCGGCAAACUCUGUGCCAGCAGCCGCGGUAAUACAGAGGGUGCAAGCGUUGUUCGGAAUUACUGGGCGUAAAGCGUGCGUAGUCGGUAUUGAGAGUCACGGGUGAAAUCCCAGGGCUUAACCCUGGAACUGCCUGUGAGACCUCAGUACUAAAGUGUGAGAGGGGAUAGUGGAAUACCCA
rnacentral:rRNA from 1 species